rnacentral:rRNA from 1 species
CCUACGGGUGGCUGCAGACGAGAAUAUUCGACAAUGCACGAAAGUGUGAUCGAGCGAUGCCGCGUGCAGGAAGAAGGGCUUCGGCCUGUAAACUGCUUUUGCCAUGGAAAAAUUUUGAUUGUACAUGGAGAAUAAGGGGUUGCUAACUCUGUGCCAGCAGCAGCGGUAAUACAGAGACCCCGAGCGUUAUCCGGAAUUACUGGGCGUAAAGAGUGAGUAGCCGGUUUUGUUAGUCUGAUGUUAAAUCUCGAGGCUCAACUUCGAGACCGCAUCGGAAACGGCAAGACUAGAGCAGGUAAGAGGCAAGCGGAACGUGCGGUGUAGGGGUGAAAUCCAUUGAUAUUGCACGGAACACCAAAAGCGAAAGCAGCUUGCUGGUGCUUUGCUGACGGUCAAUCACUAAAGCGUGGGGAUCAAAAAGGAUUAGAUACCCAAGUAGUC